rnacentral:rRNA from 1 species
AACGAACGCUGGCGGCAUGCCUAACACAUGCAAGUCGAACGAGACCUUCGGGUCUAGUGGCGCACGGGUGCGUAACGCGUGGGAACCUUCCCUUAGGGUCGGAAUAACUCCCCGAAAGGGGUGCCAAUACCGGAUAAUGUCUUCGGACCAAAGAUUUAUCGCCUUUGGAUGGGCCCUCGUUGGAUUAGCUGGUUGGUAGGGUAAAAGCCUACCAAGGCGAGGAUCCAUAGCUGGUCUGAGAGGAUGAUCAGCCACACGGGGACUGAGACCCGGCCCAGACUCCUACGGGAGGCAGCAGUGGGGAAUAUUGGAAUGUGGGCGAAGGCCUGAUCCAGCAAUGCCGCGUGAGUGAUGAAGGCCUUAGGGUUGUAAAGCUCUUUUACCCGGGAUGAUAAUGACAGUACCGGGAGAAUAAGCUCCGGCUAACUCCGCG